AAGAGAAGUUAUGAAUAAACAAGAUGUUAUGAAACUU
rnacentral:sRNA from 1 species